UACGGAAGGCAGCAGUGGGGAAUAUUGCACAAUGGGCGCAAGCCUGAUGCAGCCAUGCCGCGUGUAUGAAGAAGGCCUUCGGGUUGUAAAGUACUUUCAGUCGUGAGGAAGGUGUUAAGGUUAAUAACCUUAGCAAUUGACGUUAGCGACAGAAGAAGCACCGGCUAACUCCGUGCCAGCAGCCGCGGUAAUACGGAGGGUGCGAGCGUUAAUCGGAAUUACUGGGCGUAAAGGGCACGCAGGCGGUUAAUUAAGUUGGAUGUGAAAUCCCCGGGCUUAACCUGGGAAUGGCAUUCAAGACUGGUUAGCUAGAGUCUUGUAGAGGGGGUAGAAUUCCAUGUGUAGCGGUGAAAUGCGUAGAGAUGUGGAGGAAUACCGGUGGCGAAGGUGGCCCCUGGACAAAGACUGACGCUCAUGUGCGAAAGCGUGGGGAGCAAACAGGGAUUAGAUACC
rnacentral:rRNA from 1 species